rnacentral:rRNA from 1 species
CCUACGGGCGGCAGCAGUGAGGAAUAUUGGUCAAUGGACGAGAGUCUGAACCAGCCAAGUAGCGUGAAGGAUGACUGCCCUAUGGGUUGUAAACUUCUUUUAUAUGGGAAUAAAAUGUUCCACGUGUGGGAUUUUGUAUGUACCAUAUGAAUAAGGAUCGGCUAACACCGUGCCAGCAGCCGCGGUAAUACGGAGGAUCCGAGCGUUAUCCGGAUUUAUUGGGUUUAAAGGGAGCGUAGGUGGAUUGUUAAGUCAGUUGUGAAAGUUUGCGGCUCAACCGUAAAAUUGCAGUUGAAACUGGCAGUCUUGAGUACAGUAGAGGUGGGCGGAAUUCGUGGUGUAGCGGUGAAAUGCUUAGAUAUCACGAAGAACUCCGAUUGCGAAGGCAGUUCACUGGACUGCAACUGACACUGAGGCUCGAAAGUGUGGGUAUCAAACAGGAUUAGAUACCCCAGUAGUC